CCGUGGGUGGCCCAGCGGGUGUGGCCGAUGCCGGUGGUGCCGGCGAGCGGCGCGUCGGCGAGCAGCGCCACCAGGUUCUGCAGCUUGCCCUUCGCCC
rnacentral:tRNA from 1 species